rnacentral:rRNA from 1 species
AGCGAACGCUGGCGGCAUGCUUAACACAUGCAAGUCGCACGGGCAGCAAUGUCAGUGGCGGACGGGUGAGUAACGCGUAGGAACGUGUCCUGAGGUGGGGGACAACCCCGGGAAACUGGGGCUAAUACCGCAUAUGGGCUGAGGCCCAAAGCCGAGAGGCGCCUUUGGAGCGGCCUGCGUCCGAUUAGGUAGUUGGUGGGGUAAAGGCCUACCAAGCCUGCGAUCGGUAGCUGGUCUGAGAGGACGACCAGCCACACUGGGACUGAGACACGGCCCAGACCCCAAAGGGGGGGAGAAAGGGGGAAUAAGGGAAAAUGGGCGAAAGCAUGAUCCAGAAAUGCCGGGGGGGGAAAAAAGGUUUUCGGAAUGAAAAGCCUUUUCGGGGGGGAGGGUAAGGACGGUACCCGUAAAAGAAGCCCCGGCUAAAUUCGG